rnacentral:rRNA from 1 species
UGAGGAAUAUUGGUCAAUGGUCGCUAGACUGAACCAGCCAAGUAGCGUGCGGGAUGAAGGCCCUCCGGGUCGUAAACCGCUUUUAGACGGGGAUAAAAGGGCGUACGUGUACGCCGUAUUGCAUGUACCGUCAGAAAAAGGACCGGCUAAUUCCGUGCCAGCAGCCGCGGUAAUACGGAAGGUCCGGGCGUAUCGAUUAUUGGUUAAAGGAGCGUAGCGGACUUUCAAGUCAGUGGUAAAAUCGUGUGGCUCAACCAUACCUCGCCAUUGAAACUGGAAGUCUGGAGUGCACACAGGGGUGCCGGAAUUCAUGGUGUAGCGGUGAAAUGCUUAGAUAUCAUGAAGAACUCCGAUCGCGAAGGCAAGUGCCCGGGGUGCAACUGACGCUGAGGCUCGAAGGUGCGGGUAUCAAACAGGAUUAGAUACC